CGUUGACACACUAGUACCCGAACGAUCACUGAAGUUGAGCAACAUCGAGCUUGGGCAGUACUUAGAUAGGUAACCGCUUGGGAAUAUCAUGUGCUGUAA